UACGUAGGGAGCAAGCGUUGUCCGGAUUUACUGGGUGUAAAGGGUGCGUAGGCGGCUUUACAAGUCAGAUGUGAAAUCUAUGGGCUCAACCCAUAAACUGCAUUUGAAACUGUAGAGCUUGAGUGAAGUAGAGGCAGGCGGAAUUCCCCGUGUAGCGGUGAAAUGCGUAGAGAUGGGGAGGAACACCAGUGGCGAAGGCGGCCUGCUGGGCUUUAACUGACGCUGAGGCACGAAAGCGUGGGUAGCAAACAGG
rnacentral:rRNA from 1 species